rnacentral:rRNA from 1 species
GACGAACGCUGGCGGCGUGCCUAAUACAUGCAAGUUGAGCGCUGAAGGUUGGUACUUGUACCAACUGGAUGAGCAGCGAACGGGUGAGUAACGCGUGGGGAAUCUGCCUUUGAGCGGGGGACAACAUUUGGAAACGAAUGCUAAUACCGCAUAAAAACUUUAAACACAAGUUUUAAGUUUGAAAGAUGCAAUUGCAUCACUCAAAGAUGAUCCCGCGUUGUAUUAGCUAGUUGGUGAGGUAAAGGCGCACCAAGGCGAUGAUACAUAGCCGACCUGAGAGGGUGAUCAGCCACAUUGGGACUGAGACACGGCCCAAACUCCUACGGGAGGCAGCAGUAGGGAAUCUUCGGCAAUGGACGAAAGUCUGACCGAGCAACGCCGCGUGAGUGAAGAAGGUUUUCGGAUCGUAAAACUCUGUUGGUAGAGAAGAACGUUGGUGAGAGUGGAAAGCUCAUCAAGUGACGGUAACUACCCAGAAAGGGACGGCUAACUACGUG